GACUGCUCUUCAGUCGGUGGAGCCUGAGACUCUUCAUCUCAGGGCUGUGGGUUCGAGCCCCACACUGGGCAAAACA